GAACUUAAGCAUAUCAAUAAGCGGAGGAAAAGAAACCAACAGGGAUUACCUCAGUAACGGCGAGUGAAGCGGUAACAGCUCAAAUUUGAAAUCUGGCUCUCUCAGGGUCCGAGUUGUAAUUUGUAGAAGAUGCUUUGGGCAUUGCUCCGGUCUAAGUUCCUUGGAACAGGACGUCAUAGAGGGUGAGAAUCCCGUAUGUGACUGGUGGCAUUUGUCCGUGUAAAGCUCUUUCGACGAGUCGAGUUGUUUGGGAAUGCAGCUCAAAAUGGGUGGUAUAUUUCAUCUAAAGCUAAAUAUUGGCCAGAGACCGAUAGCGCACAAGUAGAGUGAUCGAAAGAUGAAAAGCACUUUGGAAAGAGAGUUAAACAGUACGUGAAAUUGUUGAAAGGGAAGCGCUUGCAACCAGACUUGCAGGUCGUUGAUCAUCCGGGGUUCUCCCCGGUGCACUCGGCGGCUUUCAGGCCAGCAUCGGUUUGAGUGGUGGGAUAAAGGCCUUGGGAAUGUGGCUCCUCUCGGGGAGUGUUAUAGCCCAAGGUGCAAUGCCGCCUAUUCGGACCGAGGACCGCGCUUCGGCUAGGAUGCUGGCGUAAUGGUUGUAAGCGACCCGUCUUGAAACACGGACCAAGGAGUCUAACAUCUAUGCGAGUGUUUGGGUGUCAAACCCAUACGCGUAAUUAACGUGAACGGAGGUAAGAACCCUUAAGGGUGCAUUAUCGACCGAUCCUGAUGUCUUCGGAUGGAUUUGAGUAAGAGCAUAGCUGUUGGGACCCGAAA
rnacentral:rRNA from 1 species